rnacentral:lncRNA from 1 species
UGGAAAAUGCUCAUUGCCCAUCAAAUACAUGAACAAAAAGUUCAUCAAUAUAAUACUACAAUCACACUUCAAACCCUAAUUAUACUAGCCAAAGAGAUGAAAGAGAGAUGGACAAAUAGAGAUAAAGGAGGCAGGAGCAAACAUACCUUACAAGUUGGAAGUACAAAUAGAAUAUUCUCCAUUUAAGUGCAUGUGUCUUGGCUCUAAUAAAGAAAUUGUUGCAAUUUGAAGUUAGUCUUUUAGCUUUUAGGUACUUAGUCUUUACAUGUAUACUAUUAUGUUUUCUACGUUAAUUAUAGGGCUACACACACCCACAAUAAUUGUUAUUGUUAACUAUCAUUAUUAGUUGGUAUAUAUACACACACAUACUCAAAAAAUAGUGUAGCAAAUAAUAAUACAAUGAUGUAAAUAAAAUAUUCAUAAUCUAUUAAUAUAUUCAUGGCAAGGAGUAAUGCAAAGAGUUUGAGCCUAUAAUCCUUGCUUAUGUUCUUCCCUGCUCUUCUGCACUGUAGUUGCUACUGGCAUACGCUAGUUCUCCUCGGUAUGAAGGUCCGGAGGUGGACAGGGCAAUAGCAGAGCAUGAUGCUAAGUCUCUCUUUAAAGCUGGGGAGAAGAAGCUUGGAACUGAUGAAGACACUUUCAUACGCAUUUUCGCUGAGCGAAGCCGGGCACAACUGGCUGCUGUUUCUUCUGCUUACCAUAGCAUGUAUGGGAGCUCACUUAAAAAGGUACUUUUCCUUAAAGGUUGUAAUUCUUGCGCAUAGAAACUGUAUGUUGGAUAUAUAAACAUCUUUGAAUCAUUCUGCAGGCCGUAAAAAGUGAAACAUCUGGGAACUUUGAGCUUGGUCUCUUAACUAUAUUACAGUGUGCUGAAAACCCUGGGAAGUAUUUUGCAAAGGUAAACUACGACAUUCUAUCUUAAUUACAUUCUCUCCUGGAUUAGCUACUUAUUUUUGUGUAAUGACUGCAUAAUUCACCUUGAAAUGCAGAUGCUGCACAAGGCAAUGAAGGGUAUGGGAACCGAUGACUCAACCCUUACCAGAGUGAUAGUGACAGAGCGAGAUUGAUCUGCAGUAUAUAAAAGCGAGUACCAAAAGAAAUAUGGGAAGUCGCUCAACGAUGCAGUGCAAUCAGAAACAUCAAGCCAUUACAGAGCAUUCCUUCUGUCUCUUUUAGGCGCCACACCCCGCUAGACAGAGGUGAGUGUAAUAAUAACCCUUUUCUUGAUCUCGUGGUUCACCAUUUGUACAGCUUAUGGGGAUGGCCAAGAUAAAGAAUUUCGUGGAAGGGUCGCCCUGCAAAUAAAGUUCCAUGAGUUGAGAGAAGAGGCUUGUUCUGUGUGUUCUUCAGUUGUCUGCUUUUGUUUGUACAUCGUUAUUUCCACGUCAAAGUUAGCAGCGUGGAAUGUUUGCUAGAUUGGUCAUAUCUUGUCGUAUUGUCUAAUUUAGUACCAAUUGUCUUUGUAGCUAUCUUAAGCUGUAUAUUGCACUAUGAUUUACCCCUUUUCAGCUUUCUAUAUUAAAGAUCUAAUGAUAAGGCUUUGAUUGUAACUUUUCGUACUUGGACCCAAUUGUUUAAAUUAAUGCAAUUAUCAAAUGUUUAAGAGGGUGUUUGGCAAGUUAUAAGGUAAGGGUGCGUUUUCUUUGGUUGUAAAUUUAUCAUGAGAAAAAUAGGGAUAAAUAAAAUUUCACCCUUCAAAUCAUUCUUUUCUUUUCUCACAUUUUCUACUUGACCCUUACUCAUUCCUCAUUUACACUACAAAUGAGGGAUAAUAUUAUUCCUCCAAAAAUAGUGUGAUAAUAUUAUCCCUCCUUUGUAGUGUAAAUGAAGAAUGAGUAAGGGUCAAGUAAGAAAUGUGGGAAAAGAAAAGAAGGAUUUAAAGGGUUAAAUUUUGUUUAUCCUUCCUUUUCCCAUGAUAAAUUUACAAUCAAAAAGAACGCACCCUUAGGAGUUUAUAAGCNAAAAAGUUACACCAAUAUAAUAACUACAAUCACACUUCAAACCCUAAUUAUACUAGCCAAAGAGAUGAAAGAGAGAUGGACAAAUAGAGAUAAAGGAGGCAGGAGCAAACAUACCUUACAAGUUGGAAGUACAAAUAGAAUAUUCUCCAUUUAAGUGCAUGUGUCUUGGCUCUAAUAAAGAAAUUGUUGCAAUUUGAAGUUAGUCUUUUAGCUUUUAGGUACUUAGUCUUUACAUGUAUAC